rnacentral:lncRNA from 1 species
AGAAGAUCGCCUUCUAGAGUCUGGAGUCCGGGAAUAGAAGAACGAUCCCUUACCUGGAGACCACCAGAAGGAAAGAGGCGGCCACUACUGUCGCUGCCGCUGCCGCCACCUCAGCUCGCCAACACCGCUGGCAGUGUAGCCCCCACAGCACCCCUAAUCUGACCCCUGCCACUAGCAGUGUAGCCCCCGGAUAGCACAUCCAACACACCCUAGUUUCAGGCAAUGUAACCCCAAUACCUCCCCCAAAGCACUCCCCCCACACUGCAGGGAGUGUACCACCCAACAGUGCCCCAAAUCUGACCCAGCCACGGGAGUUGCUGCACUAGAUACCAUCCCAAACCCACCUCCUCCCACCCCGCCACGGACAGUUCAGCUCUUGAUGGCGCACCACCCCGAGUCAGCACCCAACAACGCCCCAGGCAGUGCAGCAUCCAACAACGUCCCUAAACCACCCCCGACUGCCAGCAUUGUAGCCCUGGAUAACUCCACCCAACCCACCCCCUGCCGCUGGCAGUGCAGCAGAAGAUAGCGCCCCUAAUCCUUCCCCAGCCACCGGCAGUAUACGCUAGUGUACACAAUCUGCUUUCCCCGACCACCCCUGCCACCGCAGGCAGUAUAGCCCCAGAUAGCCAGCCAACCUGCCCCACCACCAGCAAUGCCACCCCGGAGAGUGCCCCCAACCAGACCACUGCCACAGGCAGGGUAGCCUCUAGCAGUGAGCCCCAGUAGGACACCCAACCCUUGCCCCCAGAGGCGUGCAGGGCAGCCCCGGGAAACUCACCUACCCCAUCACAUUUCUACCACUGUGACCGAGCUGCAGUCUCCGACGUCACCACCAACCACAGCGAGGCGAACCAACCAGAGCCAGGCCAGCCACGGUGGCACAGGUUCCAGCCUCCAGCAUGUGGCAGUGCCUCUUCCUUCUCCUAGUCCUCCAGCCCAGCAGGAGAAGCUCCCGCUGCCGGGCGCUCUCCUACUGCUCUGUCGCCACCACCAACCACAGCGAAACAGUGUCCCACGCUCCAGGGCUCCAGACUCCAUCCAUCCUCCAGCUUCAAGCAGGAGAAAGGCAAAAGCUCUGACAAGACUUUGAUCCUUCUUCAAGGCCUGGUAGGUCUGAAAUAAUCUUAUCCGCACAUGAAAAACAUUCAAAGCAUUUAAAGGACCUGGCUAUAAUUGCACAGUUCAUGGUGGCAACUCAUAGAAUAAAG